rnacentral:rRNA from 1 species
AGAGUUUGAUCCUGGCUCAGAUUGAACGCUGGCGGCGUGCGUGGGACAUGCAAGUCGAGCGGUAACAGGUGUAGCAAUACAUGCUGACGAGCGGCGAACGGGUGAGUAAUGCUUUGGAAUCUUCCCAGUAGUGGGGAAUAACCAGUCGAAAGAUUGGCUAAUACCGCAUACGUCUGUAAAGGGAAAGCGGGGGCUCGUAAGACCUCGCGCUAUUGGAUGAGCCAAAGUCGGAUUAGCUAGUUGGUGGGGUAAUGGCCUACCAAGGCGACAAUCCGUAGCUGGUCUGAGAGGACGACCAGCCACACCGGAACUGAGACACGGUCCGGACUCCUACGGGAGGCAGCAGUGGGGAAUAUUGGACAAUGGGGGAAACCCUGAUCCAGCGACGCCGCGUGUGUGAAGAAGGCCUGCGGGUUGUAAA